rnacentral:rRNA from 1 species
AGUGAACGCUGGCGGUAGGCCUAACACAUGCAAGUCGAACGGCAGCACAGUAAGAGCUUGCUCUUACGGGUGGCGAGUGGCGGACGGGUGAGGAAUACAUCGGAAUCUACUUUUUCGUGGGGGAUAACGUAGGGAAACUUACGCUAAUACCGCAUACGACCUACGGGUGAAAGCAGGGGAUCUUCGGACCUUUCGCGAUUGAAUGAGCCGAUGUCGGAUUAGCUAGUUGGCGGGGUAAAGGCCCACCAAGGCAACGAUCCGUAGCUGGUCUGAGAGGAUGAUCAGCCACACUGGAACUGAGACACGGUCCAGACUCCUACGGGAGGCAGCAGUGGGGAAUAUUGGACAAUGGGCGCAAGCCUGAUCCAGCCAUACCGCGUGGGUGAAGAAGGCCUUCGGGUUGUAAAGCCCUUUUGUUGGGAAAGAAAAGCAGCAGGUUAAUACCCCGCUGUUCUGACGGUACCCAAAGAAUAAGCACCGGCUAACUUCGUG